rnacentral:rRNA from 1 species
GAUGAACGCUGGCGGCGUGCCUAAUACAUGCAAGUCGAGCGAACAGACGAGGAGCUUGCUCCCCUGACGUUAGCGGCGGACGGGUGAGUAACACGUGGAUAACCUACCUAUAAGACUGGGAUAACUUCGGGAAACCGGAGCUAAUACCGGAUAACAUGUUGAACCGCAUGGUUUAACAGUGAAAGACGGUCUUGCUGUCACUUAUAGAUGGAUCCGCGCCGCAUUAGCUAGUUGGUAAGGUAACGGCUUACCAAGGCAACGAUGCGUAGCCGACCUGAGAGGGUGAUCGGCCACACUGGAACUGAGACACGGUCCAGACUCCUACGGGAGGCAGCAGUAGGGAAUCUUCCGCAAUGGGCGAAAGCCUGACGGAGCAACGCCGCGUGAGUGAAGAAGGUCUUCGGAUCGUAAAACUCUGUUAUUAGGGAAGAACAAAUGUGUAAGUAACUAUGCACGUCUUGACGGUACCUAAUCAGAAAGCCACGGCUAACUACGUG